UCACUUUAGUGUUUAAAAACAAAUGUCCUGCAUGGACCGGUUACUCAAAUGCAAGAUCAACCUUUGAUUGCUGUUCAGCAAAUAAUGAAGACAUCUAGCGAGGCCGUGAAAAGUCUUUUCCACAGAUGUCGACUUGUCAAAGCAGAAAAAGCAAACGUGGUGCAGAAGAUAUGGAUGCAAAUGUAUGUAAAACAAAUAGUUUUCACAGGACGAGUUGUGAAGAAGAAAAUGCAACUGGUCUUGUUGUUGUGCUCCUCUGCUCAUUGUCACACUGUCACGGCUUAAUGUGAAUAUCGUCAGUAGCACAUGUGCUUCUCAAACUGUGACAAGAUCGCUAUUAGGAUUAAAACACCACUCACAGCACUGCAGUGAAACGCAGUCAGGCAUGCUGACUGGGCCUGUUUAAUAGUAAACACUGCCAUGUAGUGGACGAGGCGUCUCAUUGCGUCAAGGACUUUUUUAAUGUGUAUUUACAUGAGUCUCUCUAAACUCUAAAAACUUGCGGGAAGAAAUUCUGAAUGUGUUUCCAGACAAAGGACAGCAAAGUGUGAAGGACCUGAAAGUGACAACUACAUUGAAUGUAUUUAGUUGAUUGUUUGUUCAUUAUUUCAUAUAAAUCACCACUUUUUAAUGCUCACCAAUCAACAACCGGGAGGAGGAGGAGGAUUCUGUAUCAAAGGAGUAAAAGACUCCAUUGUUUCACGUGUGCUUUUCUCUCUCUGUUUGCUGAUCGUAUGAAGCUUCUGGGGAAGUAAUGGCGUAAGAUGGAUGUCAAUGAAACACCAUAGUUCCUUCUCGAAAAUAAGCACUUUUGAGUGGAGGCGGUGAAAUGAAAAACAGAAGGAUUUCAUCUGCGGCUGCGUCAUCCGAACAAUAAGAUUUUACUGCCCGUCAACAUCUGGCAGUGAAAACAGCAGAGAAGAGCCAGACUGUAAAAAGCUGCUUCCACAACUCAUACAUUCUUUUAUCCGUGGGAAAAGUCACAAAACUGUGAAUCUUAAACCGUUGGAGUUUCCACAAAGACCAAAGGGGGGGGGAUCAGAUUCACUUUUCUACUAAAAUGGGAAUCUUCAAGUGAGAAAGUCUGGAAUCUCCGCACCGGCUCGUGAGCAUAUUUGUGAUAUAUUAUUAUAAAUUCUGUUUUGAUAAAAGACGACAGGUCUUCUGAGAAGCUUUAACAAUGUGUUGGAACAGGUCUGAGUUCUGAGAAUGAUCACACUCUUGGGUCACUUGAUCUGUUGCUCAACAAGGCUUUCCUUCCUACUCAAACCCAAAACGUAAAACAUUAACCGUAGCUGCAUAAUAAAAACCUCCACCUUUUUUGUCCACAUCCAAAAUGAGAAAGUAAAAACGUGAUUUAACAUGAGAUAGCUUUUUUUUUUUACGUUUCUAAAACACUAAAAGUGCCACACAGACUACAAUAUCUCAAAGAGAUGAAUCUGACAGUGGAAAAUCCCCAUGGAGUUUCCCAUGAGGUCAGUUAUUGGUGAGAUACCUCAAAAACCAUUGGGGGAGAUUUAUAGAGGUUUUCAGACAUCUGCAUGGAAACCUUUCAACGGAGUAACCAGAGACAUCUUUUUGUUUAACGUCCACUAACGAGCAAAACAUGGCGGUUGUUUACAUUCAAUGACAAGAAGAAGGAAAAAAAAACAUGGCGGUUGUUUUGUAGGUCAGACCUAAAAUAUCUCAAAUUGACUUAUUGCGCCCUCAGUUAAUCAAUAAAUAAUUUAAUAUUAAACAUGAAUAAAAAGUAGUAGAC
ensembl:lncRNA